GAUGAACGCUGGCGGCGUGCUUAACACAUGCAAGUCGAACGGGAAUUAUUCUAUUGAAACUUCGGUCGAUUUAAUUUAAUUCUAGUGGCGGACGGGUGAGUAACGCGUGGGUAACCUGCCUUAUACAGGGGGAUAACAGUCAGAAAUGGCUGCUAAUACCGCAUAAGCGCACAGAGCUGCAUGGCUCAGUGUGAAAAACUCCGGUGGUAUAAGAUGGACCCGCGUUGGAUUAGCUGGUUGGUGGGGUAACGGCCCACCAAGGCGACGAUCCAUAGCCGGCCUGAGAGGGUGAACGGCCACAUUGGGACUGAGACACGGCCCAGACUCCUACGGGAGGCAGCAGUGGGGAAUAUUGCACAAUGGGGGAAACCCUGAUGCAGCGACGCCGCGUGAAGGAAGAAGUAUCUCGGUAUGUAAACUUCUAUCAGCAGGGAAGAUAGUGACGGUACCUGACGAAGAAGCCCCGGCUAACUACGUG
rnacentral:rRNA from 1 species